GACGAACGCUGGCGGCGUGCUUAACACAUGCAAGUCGAACGAUGAACCCGGAGCUUGCUCCGGCGGAUUAGUGGCGAACGGGUGAGUAACACUUGAGUAACCUGCCCUGGAAGCUGGGAUAACAGGUAGAAAUGGUAGCUAAUACCGGAUACGAGCCUCGGGGGCAUCACCAGGGGGUGGAAAGAAUUUCGGUCAAGGAUGGACUCGCGGCCUAUCAGGUAGUUGGUGAGGUAACGGCUAACCAAGGCGACCACGGGUUUCCGGCCUGAGAGGGUGACAGGCCCGUCUGGGGCUGAGACACGCCCCAGACCCCUACGGGAGGCAGGAGUGGGGAAUAUUGCACAAUGGUCGCAAGCCUGAUGCAGCAACGCCGCGUGAGGGAUGACGCCCUUCGGGUUGUAAACCUCUUUUAGUAGGGAAGAAGCGAAAGUGACGGUACCUGCAGAAAAAGCACCGGCUAACUACGUGCCAGCCGCCGCCGUAA
rnacentral:rRNA from 1 species